GUGCUGACUUCUGUAGUGCAUAUAUUAAAAUUGCAAUGAUACAGAGAAGAUUACCUUGGCCCCUGCACAAGUGCUCCAUAUUGUGUAAUCUAUGGACAUGGUAUUU
ensembl:snRNA U6 U6 spliceosomal RNA